CCCAGCCCUCCUGCAGCAGCCUGCACUGGUCACUUGGCCAUCUUGGCCUGGCCUGGCGACAAGCAUUUUAGAUCUGGCCUUUUCUUCUUGCAGCUUGGAUGCUUCUGCCAACCUGCUGCUUCCCUCAGGAGUCAGUCUCUGUAGGCACCUUUAGAGCUGUGUUCACCUAUUAUGCUGAUGGAAAGCUGUGUCUUACCACUGUGUAUCCUCUCAAAAAGUGAAAGUAAGUAAUGGAAAUGUACCUAAGUAUCAACAGUAGAUUUCAUCUCUGCAUGUCUGUUGCCUGCUUGCUUCAUAUGUUUUGUGUCUGUGCAUUGCUGUGCAGUAAUAUCAAUGCUUCCACUGCAGCAGCCAGCAAGUUUUGGGUGUGAGAUUUGGGUUCCUUCUUGCUUCACAGUCUCUUCUGUUCCCCAGAAGGAGCUGAGUGCAGCCUGAUAUUUCAACUGAAACUGGAACAUCCCACUAUUGCAUCUAUUUCUUACCUCCUUUAUAACCCAACUCAAACCCACAGGCAGAGUUUACUAAUCUCUGUAAA